CAACCAAGCCUUUUUUCCAUGAUGAAUAAUGUUAUGUCAGUACACAACUUAUUCAAUUAAUACCCAACCUCCUAAAAUCAUAAGUUUUCAAAAUAUGAUAUUAUCAUUGCCUACAAAAUAAAAACACGGUAUCUUUGACAACCAUCAACAUAAAAUAGAGAGAUUAUAUAAGCCAUUUUAUUAGUCCAGUGAUAUGUGGAAGCUAUUCUGCAUUAAAAAACAUAUUUACUGAAAAGACACAUUGACACCUUGACUCUAGUGUACAUUAGAACUGCAUAUGGUCAGAAGUUACUCACAGCUAGCUUUUGAAUGUAAAUUGACAUGAAUCUUGGGCCAAGUCCCAUAAUUCUAGCUUCUGACAAUAAGACCUGCAGAAUAGAAGUUAGACUUUAAGUGCAAAGGAAAAUAUAAAAUCGAGACCUAAACUUGAAACAUAAGAAGAACCAAAAGCUUUCCCCGGAAACAAAAGGCUAUGAAAAAGUUGCAUGAUG
rnacentral:lncRNA from 1 species